GGAUUGUGGCUCAACGGUAAAGCACUCGCAUAGCAUGUGUAAGGCCCUGGGUUCAAUCCUCAGCACCA
rnacentral:tRNA from 1 species